rnacentral:rRNA from 1 species
UAGUCCACGCCGUAAACGAUGUUAACUUGCUGUUGGCGAUAUACUGUCAGCGGUCAAGCGAAAUUGAUAAGUGACCCACCUGGGGAGUACGAUCGCAAGAUUGAAACUCAAAGGAAUUGACGGGGGCCCGCACAAGCGGUGGAGCAUGUGGUUUAAUUCGAUGAUACGCGAGGAACCUUACCAGGGCUUAAAUGUAAGUUGCAUGAUUUAGAGAUAGAUCUUUCUUCGGACUACUUACAAGGUGCUGCAUGGUUGUCGUCAGCUCGUGCCGUGAGGUGUCAGGUUAAGUCCUAUAACGAGCGCAACCCCUACCGUUAGUUGCCAGCAUGUUAUGAUGGGGACUCUAGCGGGACUGCCGGUGCAAACCGAGAGGAAGGUGGGGAUGACGUCAAAUCAUCACGGCCCUUACGUCCUGGGCUACACACGUGCUACAAUGGUAACGACAGAGGGCAGCCACCACGCGAGUGGGAGCGAAUCCUUAAACGUUAUCUCAGUUCGGAUCGG